rnacentral:snoRNA from 1 species
CGGGCCAAGAUUAUUUGCAUUUUACCAAUUGUUCCAACUGAAUGUUCCGGGUUGACAAAUGCAUAUCGUUAAGUUUCAGCCUUGUAUGAGCCCU